rnacentral:rRNA from 1 species
UGGGGAAUUUUGGACAAUGGGCGAAAGCCUGAUCCAGCAAUGCCGCGUGUGUGAAGAAGGCCUUCGGGUUGUAAAGCACUCUUGUCCGGAAAGAAAUCCUUGGCUCUAAUACAGUCGGGGGAUGACGGUACCGGAAAAAUAAGCACCGGCUAACUACGUGCCAGCAGCCGCGGUAAUACGUAGGGUGCGAGCGUUAAUCGGAAUUACUGGCGUAAAGCGUGCGCAGGCGGUUAGCUAAGACCGAUGUGAAAUCCCCGGGCUCAGCCUGGGAACUGCAUUGGUGACUGGCAGGCUAGAGUAUGGCAGAGGGGGGUAGAAUUCCACGUGUAGCAGUGAAAUGCGUAGAGAUGUGGAGGAAUACCGAUGGCGAAGGCAGCCCCCUGGGCCAAUACUGACGCUCAUGCACGAAAGCGUGGGGAGCAAACAGGAUUAGAUACCCUGGUAGUCCACGCCCUAAACGAUGUCAACUAGUUGUUGGGGAUUCAUUUCCUUAGUAACGUAGCUAACGCGUGAAGUUGACCGCCUGGGGAGUACGGUCGCAAGAUUAAAACUCAAAGGAAUAGACGGGGACCCGCACAAGCGGUGGAUGAUGUGGAUUAAUUCGAUGCAACGCGAAAAACCUUACCUACCCUUGACAUGGUCGGAAUCCCGCUGAGAGGUGGGAGUGCUCGAAAGAGAACCGGCGCACAGGUGCUGCAUGGCUGUCGUCAGCUCGCGUCGUGAGAUGUUGGGUUAAGUCCCGCAACGAGCGCAACCCUUGUCCUUAGUUGCUACGCAAGAGCACUCUAAGGAGACUGCCGGUGACAAACCGGAGGAAGGUGGGGAUGACGUCAAGUCCUCAUGGCCCUUAUGGGUAGGGCUUCACACGUCAUACAAUGGUCGGAACAGAGGGUUGCCAACCCGCGAGGGGGAGCUAAUCCCAGAAAACCGAUCGUAGUCCGGAUUGCACUCUGCAACUCGAGUGCAUGAAGCUGGAAUCGCUAGUAAUCGCGGAUCAGCAUGCCGCGGUGAAUACGUUCCCGGGCCUUGUACACACCGC